UUUUCUGCUCAGUCACAGUUUUACUUGAAAGCAAGACUUGUCCUAGCUCCUUGUCCAUGAUUCCAAAACUUUCCAUGUUCGAAGCAGGGUCUAAUUAAAAAGGAAACUACUGGUUAGUUAAUUGAGGUAUCAUAAUUGCAGCAUAAACAUUUAAUUAAAGAUAAACUCAUCAGUUAAUACUGUAUUUAAAAGCGAAUUGGUAACUUGAAUGUGUGUACUUUUUGGAACCUGUCUAAAAACCAAAUACCCCUUCAGAUACAGUCCACCCUCUUCUAUUUAAAUAUUUUGCUGUUUUAUUUUAUAGAAAUUAUUUUGCUGAAUUCACAAAUAGAAUUUGAUUUACGAAGAACUUUUUGUCCUGUGGUGUGUUUUUGUUUUUGGGUUUUUGGUUUUGUUUAAUUUUUUUCUUACUUUUUUUUUUUGUCCAUUUUUGUUUCGUUUUUUUGAAGGACUGCAUAUUAAAAUUCUGUGCAUAGCAUGCUUAGGCAUGACACUGAAUUCAGGAGUUCAGUCACGUUAAGUUUUUGUGCACAGAAAGAUUCAACCUUUGGCCCUUUACUAAAGAUUUAGAGAAAACAGGAUGUUGACGCUGUAAAAGUUUCCUAAUCAAUCUUGUACUUUUUGUAUGUUUUUUAUAUACAUGUAUAUUUAAUGAGCACAA
rnacentral:lncRNA from 1 species